GUAGGUGAACCUGCGGAAGGAUCAUUAACACGUUUCGUUCCGAACGUUUAUAAUCCCGUUCUUACUACCUUCUGUGCACUCCGAAACACCCUGGGCCGCGUUCUUUUGGUGGAAGCGGAUGUUUUCGCCAAAGAACAACGCGCUGCUUUCACGAGCGGCGUUGGGCCCUUUCCAACCCAAACCCUUGAAUCUAACUGUUCUGAACAUACCAGGUGGAAACGCUGAUGCUUUUAACCGAGUCAUUGGUGGCUACGCCGAAGAUAAAAAACAAAAAACAACUCUUAACAAUGGAUAUCUUGGUUCUC
rnacentral:misc_RNA from 1 species